rnacentral:rRNA from 1 species
UUAAGCGACUAAGCGUACACGGUGGAUGCCCUGGCAGUCAGAGGCGAUGAAGGGCGUGCUAAUCUGCGAUAAGCGCCGGUAAGGUGAUAUGAACCGUUAUAACCGGCGAUACCCGAAUGGGGAAACCCAGUGUGAUUCGUCACACUAUCAUUAACUGAAUCCAUAGGUUAAUGAGGCGAACCGGGGGAACUGAAACAUCUAAGUACCCCGAGGAAAAGAAAUCAACCGAGAUUCCCCCAGUAGCGGCGAGCGAACGGGGAGGAGCCCAGAGCCUGAAUCAGCAUGUGUGUUAGUGGAAGCGUCUGGAAAGGCGCGCGAUACAGGGUGACAGCCCCGUACACAAAAAUGCACAUGCUGUGAGCUCGAUGAGUAGGGCGGGACACGUGGUAUCCUGUCUGAAUAUGGGGGGACCAUCCUCCAAGGCUAAAUACUCCUGACUGACCGAUAGUGAACCAGUACCGUGAGGGAAAGGCGAAAAGAACCCCGGCGAGGGGAGUGAAAAAGAACCUGAAACCGUGUACGUACAAGCAGUGGGAGCACCCUUUGGGGUGUGACUGCGUACCUUUUGUAUAAUGGGUCAGCGACUUAUAUUCUGUAGCAAGGUUAACCGAAUAGGGGAGCCGUAGGGAAACCGAGUCUUAACCGGGCGUUAAGUUGCAGGGUAUAGACCCGAAACCCGGUGAUCUAGCCAUGGGCAGGUUGAAGGUUGGGUAACACUAACUGGAGGACCGAACCGACUAAUGUUGAAAAAUUAGCGGAUGACCUGUGGCUGGGGGUGAAAGGCCAAUCAAACCGGGAGAUAGCUGGUUCUCCCCGAAAGCUAUUUAGGUAGCGCCUCGUGAACUCAUCUCCGGGGGUAGAGCACUGUUUCGGCUAGGGGGCCAUCCCGGCUUACCAACCCGAUGCAAACUGCGAAUACCGGAGAAUGUUAUCACGGGAGACACACGGCGGGUGCUAACGUCCGUCGUGAAGAGGGAAACAACCCAGACCGCCAGCUAAGGUCCCAAAGUCAUGGUUAAGUGGGAAACGAUGUGGGAAGGCCCAGACAGCCAGGAUGUUGGCUUAGAAGCAGCCAUCAUUUAAAGAAAGCGUAAUAGCUCACUGGUCGAGUCGGCCUGCGCGGAAGAUGUAACGGGGCUAAACCAUGCACCGAAGCUGCGGCAGCGACACUGUGUGUUGUUGGGUAGGGGAGCGUUCUGUAAGCCUGUGAAGGUGUGUCGUGAGGCAUGCUGGAGGUAUCAGAAGUGCGAAUGCUGACAUAAGUAACGAUAAAGCGGGUGAAAAGCCCGCUCGCCGGAAGACCAAGGGUUCCUGUCCAACGUUAAUCGGGGCAGGGUGAGUCGACCCCUAAGGCGAGGCCGAAAGGCGUAGUCGAUGGGAAACGGGUUAAUAUUCCCGUACUUGGUGUUACUGCGAAGGGGGGACGGAGAAGGCUAUGUUGGCCGGGCGACGGUUGUCCCGGUUUAAGCGUGUAGGCUGGUUUUCCAGGCAAAUCCGGAAAAUCAAGGCUGAGGCGUGACGACGAGGCACUACGGUGCUGAAGCAACAAAUGCCCUGCUUCCAGGAAAAGCCUCUAAGCAUCAGGUAACAUCAAAUCGUACCCCAAACCGACACAGGUGGUCAGGUAGAGAAUACCAAGGCGCUUGAGAGAACUCGGGUGAAGGAACUAGGCAAAAUGGUGCCGUAACUUCGGGAGAAGGCACGCUGACACGUAGGUGAAGUGAUUUACUCAUGGAGCUGAAGUCAGUCGAAGAUACCAGCUGGCUGCAACUGUUUAUUAAAAACACAGCACUGUGCAAACACGAAAGUGGACGUAUACGGUGUGACGCCUGCCCGGUGCCGGAAGGUUAAUUGAUGGGGUCAGCGCAAGCGAAGCUCCUGAUCGAAGCCCCGGUAAACGGCGGCCGUAACUAUAACGGUCCUAAGGUAGCGAAAUUCCUUGUCGGGUAAGUUCCGACCUGCACGAAUGGCGUAAUGAUGGCCAGGCUGUCUCCACCCGAGACUCAGUGAAAUUGAACUCGCUGUGAAGAUGCAGUGUACCCGCGGCAAGACGGAAAGACCCCGUGAACCUUUACUAUAGCUUGACACUGAACAUUGAGCCUUGAUGUGUAGGAUAGGUGGGAGGCUUUGAAGUGUGGACGCCAGUCUGCAUGGAGCCGACCUUGAAAUACCACCCUUUAAUGUUUGAUGUUCUAACGUGGACCCGUAAUCCGGGUUGCGGACAGUGUCUGGUGGGUAGUUUGACUGGGGCGGUCUCCUCCUAAAGAGUAACGGAGGAGCACGAAGGUUGGCUAAUCCUGGUCGGACAUCAGGAGGUUAGUGCAAUGGCAUAAGCCAGCUUGACUGCGAGCGUGACGGCGCGAGCAGGUGCGAAAGCAGGUCAUAGUGAUCCGGUGGUUCUGAAUGGAAGGGCCAUCGCUCAACGGAUAAAAGGUACUCCGGGGAUAACAGGCUGAUACCGCCCAAGAGUUCAUAUCGACGGCGGUGUUUGGCACCUCGAUGUCGGCUCAUCACAUCCUGGGGCUGAAGUAGGUCCCAAGGGUAUGGCUGUUCGCCAUUUAAAGUGGUACGCGAGCUGGGUUUAGAACGUCGUGAGACAGUUCGGUCCCUAUCUGCCGUGGGCGCUGGAGAACUGAGGGGGGCUGCUCCUAGUACGAGAGGACCGGAGUGGACGCAUCACUGGUGUUCGGGUUGUCAUGCCAAUGGCACUGCCCGGUAGCUAAAUGCGGAAGAGAUAAGUGCUGAAAGCAUCUAAGCACGAAACUUGCCCCGAGAUGAGUUCUCCCUGAGACUUAGAGUCUCCUGAAGGAACGUUGAAGACGACGACGUUGAUAGGCCGGGUGUGUAAGCGCAGCGAUGCGUUGAGCUAACCGGUACUAAUGAACCGUGAGGCUUAACCUU